UACAGAGGUCUCAAGCGUUGUUCGGAUUCAUUGGGCGUAAAGGGUGCGUAGGUGGCGCCGUAAGUCAGGUGUGAAAUUUCGGAGCUUAACUCCGAAACUGCAUUUGAUAACUGCGGUGCUUGAGGACAGGAGAGGAGACUGGAAUUUACGGUGUAGCAGUGAAAUGCGUAGAGAUCGUAAGGAAGACCAGUGGCGAAGGCGGGUCUCUGGACAGUUCCUGACACU
rnacentral:rRNA from 1 species